AGACACCAUUAAAUGAAUUUGGACUAGCACUCCUCUUCUCAGAAUUGCCUACCCCCCUUCCUCCACCGAUAGGAGUGAGGGAAGGGCUAGGAGCCCUAGCAAUGCGCUGGGCAUCAGGAGUAGUGCUUCUUGAUAAGGAAGCCCCCAAAGCAGCAGCAUAUGAAAAGGAAGCAGGCGCCCCAACAUGUUGAACACCAGAUGAGCCUUGUCCAUUGGAUACUGACCUUAAAGGAUCUGAAGUUGAAAACUCAUGACGGAGGUGAGACAGCUCAGCUUCUGCUGAACCUAAGUUAUCACUACUUUCAUCAAAAGCAUUGCGGCUAGCUGGUCGUGAAGGGGGACCAGGAGCAGGAGUCGCACGGCUCAAGUCAUCCUGAAAUAUUUCAGCAAUGCUCUUCUGUUUACUACCUAGUCCUAGUCCUGGCAACCCAAUCAGCCCAUCGCCACCCCACUCUACUGAACCCUGCAAUUUGUCUGACUCGUUCUCGUUCUCAGCUUUUAUCGAGUUAAACCCCGGAGGCAUAGCAAAGAGUGACCUCCCACUACUACUCCCAUUAUCAUUCUUGUUCACCUUCCUCCUAUCCCCAAUUGCAGAACUCCCUCCUUGCAUCCUCUGUGCAAACCUCCAAUCCUCCUUAGACAACAGUGGUGGAGGCAACCUAGGAUUAAGAUUUACAUUCGAGUAAUAGUAAGAUAAGUAAGCAGGAUCAGACCUUAGCUCCUCCUCAGACAUGAAACCACUAUUAUUAAACAAUCCACCCACUGCAUUCAACGAACCCUCAACAGUAGGUGGAGCUGACCCACUUCUAUACAUAUUCAGCUCCUUUUCACGAUCAUCAGCUUCUUGUCGUCGCUGGUCACGAAGCAACAUCCCAAUCUCUGUCUCAAACUCAUCUCCAAACGAAUUUUCAUUGUUUCCCAUCAUUGGUCUCCUACCUUAGAUCAAAUUAAAUUCCAAGAAACCUCUUUCCUCAACAUCCAGCCUCCAAGACCUCCAUGAUCAAACACCAAAUUUUACACAGUCAGUCCAGAACAAAAAUAUAAUCAACACCCACAAACCCUACCAACACAAGGAAAAAAAAAACCAAAACUUUUUUUCACAUAUAAACCUCAAAACUACAAAACACCACAUGAAAACAUAAGAUUUAAGCUCAUAAAAACCCAAUCUUUGAUUACAAAACUUCAAGAAAGUGUCUUUUUCUGAACAAAGAGUGAGCAAAUGUUAGAUAUGAUGAAAGUUUAUAUGGGAGAAAAGAGAGAAAAAAAAAAUCUGGCGGCGAAUCAAUCCUGUUUUAGGGUUUUGUUU
rnacentral:misc_RNA from 1 species